UCAUUAGGUAGGAUGAUUCUUACCUGUGGCCUUUUGGCCUCAGACACAUGAUGAUACUGGGUGAUGAUAAUUUGUGAAUUACAUCCCACGAGGCUGAGGGGACUGCAACGCUUCUCAGUACUCACUAUCUGAU